GAUGAACGCUGGCGGCGUGCCUAACACAUGCAAGUCGAGCGAUUCUCUUCGGAGAAGAGCGGCGGACGGGUGAGUAACGCGUGGGUAACCUGCCUUGUACACACGGAUAACAUACCGAAAGGUAUGCUAAUACGAGAUAAUAUGCUUUUAUCGCAUGGUAGAAGUAUCAAAGCUUUUGCGGUACAGGAUGGACCCGCGCCUGAUUAGCUAGUUGGUAAGGUAACGGCUUACCAAGUCGACGAUCAGUAGUCGACCUGAGAGGGUGAUCGGCCACAUUGGAACUGAGACACGGUCCAAACUCCUACGGGAGGCAGCAGUGGGGAAUAUUGCACAAUGGGCGAAAGCCUGAUGCAGCAACGCCGCGUGAGUGAUGAAGGCCUUCGGGUCGUAAAGCUCUGUCCUCAAGGAAGAUAAUGACGGUACUUGAGGAGGAAGCCCCGGCUAACUACGUGCCAGCAGCCGCAGUAA
rnacentral:rRNA from 1 species